rnacentral:tRNA from 2 species
GGGCCAGUAGCUCAGCCGGUUAGAGCAACGGACUCAUAAUCCGUCGGUCCAGGGUUCAAGCCCCUGCUGGCCCACCA